UGGAAAUCUCUCAUUUGACUCAUGCUGUGUUCAUAGCACCUGACUGCAGGCAGCAAUGAGGGCCAGCUGACUCCAGCUACAUAAUUGGACCAGCACAAAAGACAUGCCACAGAAAACGAAGUCAGAUUGGGAGUGACCUGAUCCACAGCAAAAGUUAACAAAGCAACAAAGGGUUAAAGGAACUUGCUGAAGGCCUCUUGGUACAACAGUGACAUGAAUGCCUGUAUUCUGCAACAGAAGGAAUCAUGAAUGAAUACAUAGAGAUCAACAUAGUAAGUAUGAUUUUUAAAAAA